GAUGAAGAACGUAGCGAAAUGCGAUAAGUAAUGUGAAUUGCAGAAUUCAGUGAAUCAUCGAAUCUUUGAACGCACAUUGCGCCCGCCAGCAUUCUGGCGGGCAUGCCUGUUCGAGCGUCAUUUCAACCCUCAAGCUCUGCUUGGUGUUGGGGCCCUACGGUUGACGUAGGCCCUUAAAGGUAGUGGCGGACCCUCUCGGAGCCUCCUUUGCGUAGUAACUAACGUCUCGCAUUGGGAUUCGGAGGGACUCUUGCCGUAAAACCCCCAAAUUUUCUAAUGGUUGACCUCGGAUCAGGUAGGAAUACCCGCUGAACUUAAGCAUAUCAAUUAGCGGAGGA
rnacentral:misc_RNA from 1 species